rnacentral:misc_RNA from 1 species
GGUUAAGUUUACCCAAUUGAAG